rnacentral:lncRNA from 1 species
CUUUCGACAGAGAAAGGAUCCCAGAACGAGUGGUUCAUGCCAGAGGAGUCAGUGCCAAAGGCUUUUUUGAAGUCACCCACGAUGUCUCCCAUCUCACUUGCGCCGAUUUCCUCCGCGCUCCCGGCGUCCAGACUCCUCUUAUUGUCCGCUUCUCCACCGUCAUCCACGAGCGUGGCAGCCCUGAAACUCUCCGUGAUCCCCGUGGUUUCGCCGUCAAGUUUUACACCCGAGAGGUAGAUUGGAAAUACACGUACUUACACACACACAUAUGCAAGAAUGUAUACACGUAUAUGAUUUUCCUGGCCGGGUUUGUUGUUUUUCAACCAGGGUAACUUCGAUAUCGUCGGAAACAACAUGCCGGUGUUCUUCAUUCGUGACGGAAUCAAAUUCCCUGACGUGAUCCACGCGUUCAAGCCAAACCCAAAAUCAAACAUUCAAGAAUACUGGAGGAUUCUUGAUUUCUGCUCUCACCACCCGGAGAGCUUGCACACCUUCAUGUACUUCUUUGACGACAUCGGUGUUCCGGUCGACUACCGGCACAUGGAAGGAUUUGGUGUCAACACUUUCUCCUUCUUCAACAAAGCUGGUAAGAUGCUGUACGUGAAGUUCCACUGGAAACCCGCUCGUGAAAAAGUGAUGGGUAUGUCCGACGAGGAAGCCAUAAGAAUCGGCGGAACCAACCACAGCCACGCCACCCAAGAUCUGUACGAGUCGAUCAAGGCCGGAAACUACCCUGAAUGGAAGCUUUACGUGCAGACAAUGGACCCUGCUGAUGAAGACAGGUUUGACUUCGAUCCGCUUGAUAUGACCAAGAUUUGGCCGGAGGAUAUCUUCCCGUUGCAACCGGUGGGUCGGAUGGUACUAAACCGGAAUGUUGAUAAUUUCUUUGCUGAGAAUGAGCAGUUGGCUUUCUCCCCUGCUCAUGUCGUCCCUGGAAUCUAUUACUCCGACGACAAGCUGCUUCAAUGUCGAAUCUUCGCCUACGAUGACACCCAGAGGCACCGGCUUGGACCAAA